UACGUAGGGUGCAAGCGUUAAUCGGAAUUACUGGGCGUAAAGCGUGCGCAGGCGGUUUUGUAAGUUUGUCGUGAAAUCCCCGGGCUCAACCUGGGAAUGGCGAUGAAGACUGCAAGGCUAGAAUCUGGCAGAGGGGGGGUAGAAUUCCACGUGUAGCAGUGAAAUGCGUAGAGAUGUGGAGGAACACCGAUGGCGAAGGGCAGCCCCCUGGGUCAAGAUUGACGCUCAUGCAC
rnacentral:rRNA from 1 species